rnacentral:rRNA from 1 species
UACAGAGACUGCAAGCGUUAUUCGGAUUCACUGGGCGUAAAGGGUGCGCAGGCGGCUAUGUGUGUCAGGUGUGAAAGCCCGAGGCUUAACCUCGGAAUUGCGCCUGAAACUACAUGGCUAGAGUAUUGGAGAGGGUAGCGGAAUUCACGGUGUAGCAGUGAAAUGCGUAGAUAUCGUGAGGAACACCAGAGGCGAAGGCGGCUACCUGGACAAUUACUGACGCCCAGGCACGAAAGCGUGGGGAGCAAAAGGG